rnacentral:rRNA from 1 species
UACGAAGGGGGCUAGCGUUACUCGGAAUUACUGGGCGUAAAGGGCGCGUAGGCGGCUUGGCCAGUCAGGCGUGAAAUUCCUGGGCUUAACCUGGGGACUGCGCUUGAUACUGCUAGGCUUGAGGCCGAGAGAGGGUGGUGGAAUUCCCAGUGUAGAGGUGAAAUUCGUAGAUAUUGGGAAGAACACCGGUGGCGAAGGCGACCACCUGGCUCGGUUCUGACGCUGAGGCGCGACAGCGUGGGGAGCAAAC